AUGUAAAUGAUGAACAACCAAAUGCAACGAUGAAUCACUAUGAUUAUCACAAAAUCAUACGAGCUUUUUAACUCUGAACAAU